rnacentral:lncRNA from 1 species
AUCUGUGAUGAGAUCGGGAAAGUGGGCUCAAGAGGUCUGGAUCUGUGGUGAGAUGGGGGAAGUGGGCUCAGGAGGUCUGGAUCUGUGAUGAGAUGGGGAAAGUGGGCUCAGGAGGUCUGGAUCUGUGAUGAGAUGGGGAAAGUGGGCUCAGGAGGUCUGGAUCUGGGGUGGGGAUCUGGAGUGGAAGGGGAAUUCAUUUGUUCAUUGUCUAUCCUUUUGUAUUGAUUGAAUUUUUUAUAUAUAUAUGUGAAUU